GAAUCUUAGACAAUGGGCGCAAGCCUGAUCUAGCCAUGCCGCGUGAGUGACGAAGGCCUUAGGGUCGUAAAGCUCUUUCGCCAGAGAUGAUAAUGACAGUAUCUGGUAAAGAAACCCCGGCUAACUCCGUUCCAGCAGCCGCGGUAAUACGGAGGGGGUUAGCGUUGUUCGGAAUUACGGGGCGUAAAGCGUACGUAGGCGGAUUGGAAAGUUAGAGGUGAAAUCCCAGGGCUCAACCCUGGAACGGCCUUUAAAACUACUAGUCUAGAGUUCGAGAGAGGUGAGUGGAAUUCCAAGUGUAGAGGUGAAAUUCGUAGAUAUUUGGAGGAACACCAGUGGCGAAGGCGGCUCACUGGCUCGAUACUGACGCUGAGGUACGAAAGUGUGGGGAGCAAACAGG
rnacentral:rRNA from 1 species